UACAGAGGUCCCGAGCGUUGUUCGGAUUCACUGGGCGUAAAGGGUGCGUAGGUGGUGAGGUAAGUCGGAUGUGAAAUCUCCGGGCUCAACCCGGAAACUGCAUUGGAAACUACCUUGCUUGAGGGUUUGAGGGGGGACUGGAAUUCUCGGUGUAGCAGUGAAAUGCGUAGAUAUCGAGAGGAACACCAGUGGCGAAGGCGAGUCCCUGGAAAACACCUGACACUGAGGCACGAAAGCUAGGGGAGCAAACGGG
rnacentral:rRNA from 1 species